rnacentral:rRNA from 1 species
UACGAAGGGGGGCGAGCGUUUGUUCGGAAUUACUGGGCGUAAAGGGCGCGCAGGCGGCUCUGAAAGUCAGAUGUGAAAGCCCCGGGCUUAACCUGGGAACUGCAUUUGAUACUCUGGAGCUUGAGUACGGGAGAGGAUAGUGGAAUUCCCAGUGUAGAGGUGAAAUUCGUAGAUAUUGGGAAGAACACCGGUGGCGAAGGCGGCUAUCUGGACCGUAACUGACGCUGAGGCGCGAAAGCUAGGGGAGCAAACAGG